GUCACCAUGAUCUGACCAGUGAAACCAUACUUAAACACAUCUUCACUUACCUCCUUGCCGCCACCAUCAUUCACUUCUUGUCGUCUUUUGCUGCUCAGAUUUCUUUCUUAUUGACUUCUUCGCACGUGCCAGGUUAUAGUCUUACACUUCAAUAUGUGCGUGCGCUCACGCAUGAACUUUUUUAUAUGAUAUCACAAUCCUCAAGUACGCCUUCCGAAAAAUUCCUUUUGUUGUAUUUUACUACAUAGUAUGAACGCGCUUGCUUUUUGUCUGAGAUUCUCCAUUAGUUUAUUUUAAAACGAUUCUCCCAAACCUGAAACAUACGGUCUUGAUCGUAUAACCGGUGAUAAUAUUAUUUUUUCCUUGUAAAUGGAAGUUAAAAAUAUCCAAGUUGUACAAAGAUUACGGUAGACCUUAAUUGUUUGACAUUUUGGAACCUAAAGAAUUAGGAGAAUAUGUUUAGAGAGAUACUGGGCUCUUAUUAUAUGGGCCACGCAUUUAUUAUCGCACUCACAAAAUUAAAUGCUAAGCUGGUUGGGCCUAGAGAACUUUUAUGGCCCACGUAGCCACAAAAUUAAAAAAAGAAAAAUUAGAUUGCGGUGAGCGUAGAUCGAACACGCGACCUUCAGAUCUUCAGUCUGACGCUCUCCCAACUGAGCUAUCCCCGCAAGAUGUUAAAUACAACAUUUUUAUCUUAAUUAUACUCUAUUCGUAUGUACUAGUUAAAGUUCCAGCAAUAUUCAAGACAGCACUGACAAAUUUGUAUACAGAACACAAAAACAAAAUCUUAGCAUGACAUUAAUCAAAACAUAUUGCCAAAGAAACGGUACACUGUUUUUUUGGUUGUUCUUUGUUAUAUUAUAAGUCUAUAAUCAUGGGAAUUGAGAAGUGUGGUUUAGAGUUUUUUAGAGUUUGAGCCAUUAGUUUCUUAGCUGAGCCAUAUGCAACAAUGUCUCGUCCCAACCUUGAUUUGUCACACUGCUAGUCAUAGUCCAUAGUUGUGUUGUCUCAAAGAAUCCUUGAAUCUAAUAUCUCUUCCUUCCAUUUUUUUUUUACUCUUAUCGCAUUUCGUGGAUACCAUACUGAUUUGCAUCUGAAAUUAUAGAUUAACAAUAAUUCAUUCCAGUAUAUAGACAAGACAAUACAAUACAAUAGCAUACACUUAUUCUUUCUCAAUUCGUCACUACCUUGUUUUAUCACAAAAUUGAACAACUUAAUUUUCUACUUACAUUCUCAAAUUCUUUAACUAAAUAUUUAACUGAUUGGAAUUUAUAAUGGAACUGAGUGAAUUUUGAAGAUUUUUUGGUAAAAAUAUGAAAACUUAAAUCCCCAAAAUUCAAAUUUAUAAAUUAUUAAUUAAAAUCUACAUAAACAAAUAACAACUGUCUAGUUUCAGGGUUGUUUAUAACUCCCAGUAAUAACUUAGGUCUUAUGCGUAAGAUUUGUAAAAUAUAAGAGUUAUUUUGUAAAUAUUGGUUUUAGUAAGAUGAGACGACGGAGGAAUUAAAAAAAAAAGAAGGGAGUCAGCAGUUUUGCGUUUUCUUUACAAGUGUUCUCUCUUUUUUAUAUUCUCUCGAGUGGUUACGGUUUCUUCAUUCUCGGGAAACUUGUAGGAAAGAGAGGCUGCAAGCCUGCAAGUGAGAGAGAGAGAGGGGGAAACCUAUAUUCGAUUUGCUCCGUUCGAUCGUUUCUAGCGAAUCGAAGGCGAGAUGGUGUUCUACUUCAAGGCCCGACCAGAUGCUGGAGACUACACCAUCUUCAUGGGGCUUGAUAAGUUCGAGAACGAGGAGCUCAUCAAGUACGGCUUCCCCGAAGACGUCUGUCGAAUAUGUUUGAAAACUACAACACACGGAUACAUCGAAGAAGAAGAAGAAGGUACCCCAAGAAUAGGAUCCUCUGGAGCUUGGACAAGAUGAGCGAAAACAGAACCGGAUGAGACUCCCGAUGUCAGCGAGGCGAAAAUGGAGCUCAGACGAUACGUUGACGGAUUAAUCUGGCAUGCCCCGGCGGUGAGAUGACGGAGCAAUGCACCGACCCUGCGAUCGCUUGGCGACGACGAAGAUGAAAAUUCAGUAGUUCUCAUUUUUUUUUAGCUUUGUGUGUAUGAAUACGAAUUUGCCUCGUUCUCUUAUAACAGUUUUGACUUUUUAUUUUAUUGUUUUCGAAAUUUAAAGUUGCCACGUAGGCUUAGCAUAAAGUUGCGUGCCUGCGUUACGUUGAUGAAAUUUAAAGUUGCCAUCGUCGGGAUAAAUUAUCUUACGUUCCGCAUAUUCUUAACAAUGUUUUACAUUGUGACUAUCUUUGCUCAUCAAUAUAAUCAACAAUGUUUUACAUUUUAACUGAUAAAGUUUUGGUAAUAAAAUUCUUGUCCGUUUGGAAUGCUCACUCUUUUUGAAUAAUAUAUCUAUGAACCCCUCGUAAAUCAUGUAAUUAAGAAAAUCAUGGUUUACAAUUUCAAAAUCAUAUGAGAAUUUUUUUUAAAAAAAAUCAAGAACUAAACCGGAUUAAACUGGUUAGGAAGACAACUCUAGAUCUAGAUGAAAGAGAGGCCAUCAUCCUCUUGCAACCCCGCCGCCUUGACUCUGAAAGAAAAAAAUUAGAGAGAGAAAGAUAGAAAGAGGUGGGGUGUCUUGUCUGGAAUGCUCAUUCUUUUACCUUGUGUUCAAGAAGCUUAUCUGGUUUUUUUUUCUUUAACAUAUUACCAAAAAAACUAUAUGUUUUUCUUAUUAACGAGUCUACUUGAACAGGCUGAAGAUGUGAUUUAAUAAAUGUAUUAUGACUUAUGAUAAUGAUUGCUAUUUCGGUUAAUUGAUGAAGCUUAGCUUGAUGUCACUAGAAGAAAUUAUCUUAUGAGAAUGAUGAUAAAAUGAGAGUGAUAUGUACCAAUCCCAAAAUCAGCUUAGUUGAGUUGGUAGCUCAAGUCUAUUUUAAUAUAUUUAAAUUUUGUAUCAUGGAACUGUUUAACUAAUGGCAGAAACAAAAAUCCAAACUUAUCAGUCUAUUGCUCAAAGCAAAUCAUUCGAUCUGAAAUCCGGUAUUAUUUAAAGGUUACUGAAAUUAGCCAUAUACUUUUAGUUGAUAUGAAUGACAAUUUUCUUGAUAUAGUCAAAAAUAGAAAUCAUAUUUUCAGGAAUACGUAAUCAUACAAUACAGCGUUUUCAGUUGGUGUGCAAUGACGCGUCCAUAGGAAAAAAUUAGGACGGAUUAGAUUAUAUAUAUUCAAUUACUACUAAGAAGAUUUUUUCAGUUUGUCUAUUGAAUUCUUAUCAUUUUACAUUAUAAGAAUAAAAAGAAAAAACUAAAAUGUUAUUGGAGAUAUGAAUAUGUGCAACCCCACUCUGCUUCUCUUUUGUUUCCAUCCGUGGUUAGGUGUUGAUGGUCUGCGGGUCAGCCCACUUAUUUGUAGGGAUAAUUCAUCAUAUCCGCAAUUAGUUUUCUACUAAAUACCUGUUGUUUAAAAAAUACUUAAUACAAUUUAACAUCUAUUUUAAGGCUAAUGUUAUUUAAAGAUUUGAAUAUUAUAUAUGAAAAUAGCUGGGAAAAAUUUCUGUGAUUCAGACUAUUAUUGGACCGGUCCUUUCCGUGGAUAUCCAUUUUUGAAGGUUAUAUACAUAUCUUAUCACUUAUAAUGGGAGUGGCUCGUGUCUGGCAUACAUUUAUCGAUGUUAAUGAUAACGAAGACCCAGUUAGGAGUAUCGAUGGCUUAAUGUAAUUUGUUGAGAUCCUUGCAAUUUGUUGUAUAACUGGCUUCAAGAAAUCCUAUGGUGUGAAUAAAAUUAGUACUAUCAUAGAUUCGUAGUUGAAUUAUUUUAUAGUGGGUGGGGUUUCUGAGUUUUGGUACGCAUUUUACUGAUACUUAAUGGAUUGGUAACUGAAUUCUUACAAUAAAGAUUAUAUAAAAUUUACGCAAAUCAUGAAAAAUCAAUAAUAUUAUUAGGAUGAUAUUCAUAUAUUAGCAGACUUAGUUUUAAAAUAAAAUAAGAAAAGAUUAGCAAUUUUUUUGUUAUGUAAGUAUAAUUUUCAACUUUGUACGUAUUUCAAUAACGCAACUUAAUUAAGGCGUUUUCUCAAAAAAAAAAAAUAAUAAUAUCACAACUCAAUUAAGAUGUAGUUCAAUUUUAAACUCUCGAUUUUAGUUUCCGACCGAAGAGAUUAUAUUGAUCGUUAGAUUUAAAUUAUUGUGAUCUGUACAAGAAACCAUAAAUACUGAAAAUGAUACCCGAAAACUUUAGUGCUUACACGACAAAGUAAAGUGUUAGAAGUUUGUGAGAUAAUAUUGCAACGGUUAAAGUCAUGAGGGGUGUUUGAGCUGUGGCUGUAACCGUUGUAUUAUUAUCUCACAAACUUCUAACGGUGUUUGAGCUGUGGCCGUAACUUGUUUGAACCUAAACAGCGUCCGUCCUUAUUUCAAAGAAUUCGAUUUUCUAUAGAUUACGACUUACGAGGUAAUCCAAAAUAGUUCUAGUAACCAACAAUUUUUUUUGAACAACACCAACAGUUACUUAUUUGAGUUUUGAACAACACCAACAGCAAACUAAUUCUUUUUAGAACUAACUGGUUAAGAAUUGUUUCGAUGUCAAGUGCUAUAUGAAAAUGAUAAUUCUACUAAUGGUUUAUUUCAACAAAACUAACGAUCGAUUUUUAAUUUAGAAAUAAGAAUUACUUUUUGCAAAAUGCUAGUAUGUAAAAUCAAAUAAAUAUAAAAAAUCAAAUAAAUAAAUAAACAAAAGUAUCUGACUUGGUCUGUUACGUUUAGCUAUAUCAAGUGAUGUUUGUGUGUGUUUCUUCUUUCAGCAACAAUGAUGCGCUGGAUCUUGUGGCUCACAUGAAAUGCCUUUUGGGUUCAACCCAGUUCCUAGGUAAUGGCUUGAAGACAAGGUAUUCUCAAAGGCUAGGGGAUAUUAUAGAUUAUCAUUUUUACACUAACAUUUAAAAAGACCCAAUAAUUUGUGAAACAUUUAAAAAAUUUGAAGUCAAUUCUUAGAUUUUUUUUUGUAAAGAUGGAAAAACGCUUUACGAAAUUUUCUUAAAUAUACUUUUCUUAAAAUAAGUAGUACUCUUUGAAAAUUUAAUAAGAAUUGUAGUAUUUUUUUUUUUAAAAAGAGUGACAUUCUAGAAUUUGCUCCACACUCAGGGGAUGUAUCCAAUCUAAAAUUUUGGCUAAAUUGAUUUUUAGUGAAGUUUUACAUGAUCUCAAUGAAUUUAAGAGUUUAAAUUAAACCACUCUUGAAUAUCAACCGAAACCAUGAAUUUUGAUUUUUGAUUUUUUUAACUAAGAAAUUCUAUCCAAACAUUUUAAUAUAAAUUAAAAUCUUUAAAAUUCCACAACUUAAAAAUAUUUUCAAUAACAGUGAAUUUCAGAGUACUUUAUGAAAUGUCAAAUUUAAUAACAGUAGAUUUUAAAUAAAUUUUUAAAAUUCAUGUUUGGAUAAUAAUGAAUUCAUCAUUAAUACAAAUAACCAAAAACUCUAAGUUGAAUACACCAUCUUAUUGUUUUAUAGUGUUAGUUACUGUUUUCAUACAGAAGGGUUCUAAUUUUUGAAUAAAACAACCAAAUUUACACCAAUUAAUAACUAUAGUGAAUAAAUAAAAAUAGUUUAAACCAGUUUCUAAAUAUUUUAAAAAGUAAAUCAAAAUAAAA